CCGGUAUGUGCUGUACAGAAGGGGACUCGAUGGCGGUACGCCAGACUUUUACACGCUCCCAUGAUCUUCAGCAUACCAAUCUUCUGGCUCCUGAGUGCACCAUUCUUCAGCAAUGUUGUUUUCCUUAGUACGCAGAAGAUAUAGCAAUCAUCCACCCGUCCUUCAUUGUAGCAGAGGAUCAAACUGAGUCAAAACAUGCUAAAUGGAGAGGGUGUUGAAUCUAAAGUGGGUAACUGCCCUUUUCCUCUGCAAUAUUGUCGCAGUUAUCAGAAGUUUGAUCUGUCUGAACAGUGGCAUGCAGUUUGGAAAUGGCCGAUUUGUUUCUUAUAGAUGAUGUUUUUUUUUCUUCUUCUAUUUUAUUUUUCUUUAACUGUCAGGGACGGAGCAUGCCACGGCUUGGUCUCGCUCAAGACAGAGAAAUGUGACUUGACAGAUGAGCGAUAAGGAAAUGUUCUUGGGGAGGAGAAGACAGACUCUGAAAACAGACAUUAGGUGUCUUUGAAAGCUCACAAAGCUUUAGUCUGUACCGCGAAUUGACGGAGCUAAAGAUCAACUCUUGUCGGAACUUGGCUCAUUGAACCUUUCACUAAACGUAUUUCUUCUUCCUUGAUGCAGGUCAUGGGAUGUUUUAAGGAGUAAGAAAAGUGCACUUUUGAUAGCAGCUAACUGUUGUUAUAAGGGCAUUACUUUUUAGGCUGCCUGAAAAUCAAAAGAAACUGCACUGAACCUCUUUACAGAUGAAAUAUGUGUUGAAAUAUGUGAUCCAAGAGUAGGGGGGAAAAACCCCUCAAAACAGAGCAUUUAGCACAUCCCUGAGCUCUUAACUGUUGGCCUGGUUGUGUUUGGCUUCAACAUAGAGCCUAUGCACACAGCUUUGCACGCUGUUGUCUAAAUUUUGUGUACAAUUACCAGGGGGCAGUGUCAAAAACAUGUUCUCCUUCAGACUUACAUAGAGAAGUUAUAAAAUAUAAAGAGCUGAAGUGAAACUUAUGUUUUUUUUUUAUCUUUGCUGUUUUAUCAUCCAUCUCUAUGUGGUGAACUCUCUUGUCCCUCUGUUUCUUGUCUUUACCCAUUAGUAAUAUCUAUAUAU
ensembl:lncRNA